GGCUUUUUCCCGACUGAACCCGAGGUCCCUCUUCUUCCUCUCUCUCCGCCCCUCUCCACCACCACCCCUCCCGACGACGGGCGCCGUCUUGCCGCCCAAUUCCGCCCCCGCCGCCCCUCUCCACCACCACCCAUCCCGCCCCACGCCGCCCCCACUGGCACCACUCCUCCCGCCCCAUGCCCCACGCCGCCUCGUUCCCCACCUCGUUCCCCAACGUGAAGCAUGCAUUUUUUUUGUCGAUCCUUCUGCUGCUCCUGUCCGACGGCCAUGUGUGUACUCCUUGCGCGGCGGCGGGGCACGGCGGACGGGCUCCCUCCUUUCUCGCACUCCUUGCGCGGCGGCUGCUCGGCGGAUCGCAAAGAGGCAGGUGGAGGAGCUCACCCAGGAGCCCGCCGGAGUCAAAGGAGUUUGAUGUGAGGAACAAGUCGGCUUCGCUCAAGGCCGACGAUUGGGUGUGUGUAGUGGCAGUUUAAGGAGUGGCGAAAUCUUCUGUUGGAUUGCUGCAUGCUCUGGUCUGAAAGUUUGUGCUUUGAAGGAGUAGCAACAUCUUCAGGUGGAAGGAGUGGCAGUUCAAGGACAUCUUCGGCAGUGGUCUGGAUUGAUUCAGGACUACCUACCUAGCAGCAGCAGCAGAGGCCGGGCAAUUCCACUAAAUUUUGCUCGAAGCAGGACAAUUAGAAGCAGCAGCAGAGUUCGUUUGGUUGAAGCAGAAGCAGAAGCAGCAGUAGGCGUCGGGGGGCAACACAGUCGACUAGGAAGGAGCCGGAGGGGAAGGAGAGACUGGGCCGGCGAUCGGAAUCUCCCAGCAGCAGAGACGGGGCCGACGAUCCGAGUCUCCCAGCAGCAGAGACGGGGCACGGGGAAGUAUCGCGACCGAACCGCGGAGGUUGGCAGCGGUGCAGGUCGAGGUGGGCGGCGCCGCAGUGGCUGGUCGCGCAGGUGGGCGGCGUUAUCACGCAGGUGGUCGCGACGGAUCGAGGACCAGCUCGCCUGGUGGUCGCGGCGUUGGGCGGCGGAAUCCGCGGGCAGCUGGUGGCGGGUGGGCGGCGGCGCGUGGUUGCGGGUGAGCCGUGAGUGCAGGAAUCUCCAGCACGGCGGCGGAAUCCCGCGGCGCCGGCCCCUGGCGACGCACGGGCGGCGGACAGAGGAAGCAGAAGGAGUCAAGGACGUGCUUGCUACUGUUUUAAAAUUGUGAGGUGUUUUUCGCAAAAUGUACACUGUACUGCGCCCGCGACAUGAAUUUCGGGACGGAGGGAGUAUAUUUUUGUCUUGCUUUA